UCCAGACUCCUACGGGAGGCAGCAGUGAGGAAUAUUGGUCAAUGGGCGGGAGCCUGAACCAGCCAAGCCGCGUGAAGGAAGAAGGCGCCAGGCGUCGUAAACUUCUCUUGUCGGGGAACAAAGGGCGCCACGUGUGGCGUUGUGAGUGUACCCGAAGAAAAAGCAUCGGCUAACUCCGUGCCAGCAGCCGCGGUAAUACGGAGGAUGCGAGCGUUAUCCGGAUUUAUUGGGUUUAAAGGGUGCGUAGGCGGAGUGUCAAGUCAGCGGUAAAAUUUCGGGGCUCAACCCCGUCGUGCCGUUGAAACUGACGCCCUUGAGUGAGUGAGAAGUAAGCGGAAUGCGUGGUGUAGCGGUGAAAUGCAUAGAUAUCACGCAGAACGCCGAUUGCGAAGGCAGCUUACCGGCGCUCAACUGACGCUGAGGCACGAAAGUGCGGGUAUCGAACAGGAUUAGAUACCCGCGUAC
rnacentral:rRNA from 1 species